rnacentral:rRNA from 1 species
AUGGCCAUCGACUCCGUUGGCUGGCGCUCGUCCAACCACCAUGCACGCGCUGAUGGCAUCGCCGUUGAUGCUGGCUGGCCCAACUCCCGUACUCGUACGGUUGCAGCGGUGCCGCCGCCGACGAGGCGAAUCACUGGCCGCACGAUGGACCCCUGGCCCACAGCUGGUGACCCUCGCAGUUCCCCUUGCUUUGCCAAAAGGGGAAAAUGCGGUGGAAAGAAAAAGAGGUUGGCAGAGGAGGCCAGACGUGCAAAGGCUGCAUCCCUUGCGGCUGCUUUACCCCCCGCCCUGCCACGUGUGGCCCGCCUGUCCCUGCUCUAG